GGAGAGAUGGUCGAGCUGGUUUAAGGCGCGUGCCUGGAAAGUGCGUAUGCCCCAUAAAGGCAUCGGGGGUUCGAAUCCCCCUCUCUCCG
rfam:Peptoniphilus asaccharolyticus DSM 20463 genome assembly, contig: Pasa20463_Contig230